UCCCUCCCCGCUACUCAGAAGCUAUGCUCCUUUUUCUUUUCAUUUCGUUCCUCACUCACUGAGCCUUAAGUUUCGAUCACAAGUUUGUUAUCUCUCAGUGCAAACUCUAGUCGCUUGUUUGGAAUUAUCAACUGUUUAUCAUCAAAUUAAGAAGAAAAGGAAGGAUUUGAAAUUAGGGUUUACAUGAAGAGGGUUUCAUUUGAAAAUGAGUUUAAUGGAAAGUUUAUUCCAGAGGAUCAAAUUGAUUUAUUUUAUGAAAAGAUGAAGGAUACUGUUGUGAAAAUAUGUGCUAUUCUAGAUCAUAUUGAAGCAAACGAUGAAAAUGAAGAUGUGGAAAUGAACGAUCAAGAAUAUGUGAGCAGCACUCGCCAAGCUCGAAAACAGGCUGCUCAGAACAUAGAGGUAGUUAAAUCGUCCGUUGGGACUGGAGUUAUAAUAAAAAAGGGUUACGUCCUCACUGCCGAACAUGUGGUGGCUGGUGCUAAAGUUGUUUUUAUCCGGAAUGUGGAAAAGAACGAUUAUUAUCGUUGUAGCAUUGUUAAAUCUAAUGAAAAUACAGAUUUAGCAUUACUCGAGAUUGAAAAAAAGAAAGUAAAAUUUCUUACAAGACGCGUGGAAUUGACUCCUAGGAAUGAUACAAUGGUAGGUUCUCAAGCUCUACAUAUAGGGCACCCAAAUGAUUAUGAUUAUUCAUUUUUAAGAGGGGAUGUUGCACAUCCACGUAGACGUUGUGAGGGUAACAUGGCUGCAGAAUUCCAACUCAACAAUCUUCAUGGAGCUGAAGGUUCAUCGGGCGGACCUAUUUUUGAUGCUGGUGGCUUGCUUAUUGGCAUACUUUUGUCGGCACAGAGUCAUACAGGAUUAACGAAUUGUGCCCAUAUGGAUGUUGUAAAAGAUUUUUUAGAAGAAUGCUUCCCUGGACAGAAAUCGAAGAAAUCAAAGAGUAGAGCUAUUGAUGAUGACAAUGACGAUGAUGAAAAGGAACCAAAAUACUCAGUUAAAGUUAGUGGUUUUGAUGGCAAGGAUGUGGAGGAUGAAUACAGCAACGAAGAAGAAGAAAACAGCAACGACGAGGAAGAGGACGAAGACGAAGAAAAAGAAGAUGGCGAUCUGGUUUUAUUUAAGUUGGCUAAAUUGUUUGGUAAAUGUGGGAAAAUUUUGAGGAUAUUCUUCCCCUUGGAUAAAACAACUAAAAAGCGAAAAGGGUAUGCGCUCAUUGAAUUUAAGGACGAAGCAGGUGUCAACAAAGCGUUACUGAAAGAUGAAACAACAUUCUUCCAGAAAAUAUAUAAAGUGAAAACUGUAUGAUGCAAGCAUGGUCAAUGAAUUUGUAUUUCGGAUAUAGAUUCACUUCAUGAAAAGUGGCGAUAAUGGCAUGGGAAGCAAUGAUGGUCAUGGUGCUAGGGGUUUUGAGCUCAAUUAUGAUCCAGAUUCUUCAAUCAGACCUGCGCAGUUACCGGAUCUGAGACUAUAGAAUCAAUUUUGUCAGUUGAAGAGAGUAUUGUCCCACAGCUUAUCACUAUGGGGUUUAACUAUCAUCAGGCGGCUGUUAACACUCAAAUGCGGCGGGGGCAAUGGAUUGGUUGCUCUCUCACAUGGAUGGCCCAGUGUAACAGUGUAGAUCUGCUCAAGUUAUAACACCAUGCAGUUGGCAUACUGAUUACUGACGCUCAAGGUACACAGUGAGCAUUGCUGAUCAGUCGAAUGGAAUUGGAACCAUAGAUAUGUGAUACUCACUUAUAGAUUGAACUGGAAUUGGAACCAGAGAUGUGAGUAAAGUAUUCAUUUCACAUGUCGUAGGUGGAGAAGGAAGGAGAAUCAAGAUCUGCUGAAGAAAAAUAAUUCAGUAAGAAGUCUCCUUACUGAAGCUAUGUGGAGUUCGAUUUGGAUGGGCUACACUUGAAUUCAAUCUUCGUUCUACGGGCUGUCCCUCUGCCCCAUACAUUUUAUUUUAAUGCAUGGUAUCACUAUCAACAAGACUGGUAAGGAUGACUCAUCCGCAUUGAGAGCAUGCAUGCGGAGUUCAGUUUGGCCGUUGUUAAUCAAAACCAUUCCUAAAAGACAGUGAGGCAAGGUUCAUCCUCUUCUACUUUUAGGUUUACCCCCUGAGUAACUGUGUAUGUAAUGGGCAUACAUAACCCCUAUAUGUAAAUUACGCAGGCUAUGAGGGACUGCUGUAGCCUG